rnacentral:rRNA from 1 species
AGAGUUUGAUCCUGGCUCAGGACGAACGCUGGCGGCGUGCUUAACACAUGCAAGUCGAACGGAAAGGCCCUUUCGGGGGUACUCGAGUGGCGAACGGGUGAGUAACACGUGGGUGAUUUGCCCUGCACUUUGGGAUAAGCCUGGGAAACUGGGUCUAAUACCGGAUAGGACUACGCGAUGCAUGUCGUGUGGUGGAAAGCUUUUGCGGUGUGGGAUGGGCCCGCGGCCUAUCAGCUUGUUGGUGGGGUGAUGGCCUACCAAGGCGACGACGGGUAGCCGGCCUGAGAGGGUGACCGGCCACACUGGGACUGAGAUACGGCCCAGACUCCUACGGGAGGCAGCAGUGGGGAAUAUUGCACAAUGGGCGCAAGCCUGAUGCAGCGACGCCGCGUGAGGGAUGACGGCCUUCGGGUUGUAAACCUCUUUCAGUGCCGACGAAGCGCAAGUGACGGUAGGCAUAGAAGAAGGACCGGCCAACUACGUGCCAGCAGCCGCGGUAAUACGUAGGGUCCGAGCGUUGUCCGGAAUUACUGGGCGUAAAGAGCUCGUAGGUGGUUUGUCGCGUUGUUCGUGAAAACUCACAGCUCAACUGUGGGCGUGCGGGCGAUACGGGCAGACUUGAGUACUGCAGGGGAGACUGGAAUUCCUGGUGUAGCGGUGGAAUGCGCAGAUAUCAGGAGGAACACCGGUGGCGAAGGCGGGUCUCUGGGCAGUAACUGACGCUGAGGAGCGAAAGCGUGGGGAGCGAACAGGAUUAGAUACCCUGGUAGUCCAA